CUUGUACACACCGCCCGUCACACCAUGGGAGCGGGUUCUGCCAGAAGUAGUUAGCCUAACCGCAAGGGGAACGCUUACCACGGUGUGGUCAAGUGACGUGGGGUG
rnacentral:rRNA from 1 species